rnacentral:lncRNA from 1 species
UUGGUGAGUAUUGCUGAUGUGAGUUGAGGGUGGCUGGUCAAGGUGACUCCAUCCAGCAUUCGGUAGCAAUAUGUUGCGGUGCCUGGUGUGCACAGUCCGGUUGCCUGGAGAGGGACCGGAUGGCCAGACACAGCGAAUGGCAGGGGAGGGUAUUUCCGUAAGGUUUGCUGGGAUCUGGACAUAGGAUCAGACCGCGACCAGGCCGCAUUCGGACAGCGUAAGGAGCGGAUUUGCGAGCAAGGCACGCGGACACUGCAAAACGAUGCCGUCUGGGAGCAAGGGGUUACAUGCCGUAGCAACUUUGCCAAGCAGCUACCUGAUGACAGGAUGAUAUAUUUGUGCGGUUGGGAGGCUAGCAAACGGAUAGGUCGCAAGCCGUUACCUGCGUAUACAAAAUGCUGACUGAUUCAGGGUUCGUGUAGUCAAUAGCGAUGGCAGGGGAUGGCGCCGCUGACGACAGCAGUGGACGGGCUUGCGUUCUUCGUUCCUCAUUUUCGUUACAGCAACAAGCCGCGGGUUGGCAUCUUUACGAAUACAGAACUGAUGGAUGCGAAAAAGCAUCGAGGCUUGUGUUGCGGUUUGUAUUUUGGCCUUUGACGUUUGAGACACUGGCCCCUCAACACUGGCCCCCGUUGCUUUUCGGAGUUGUGACACCAAAAUAAACCUACGUUAUUGCAGGACGUGUACGGCAAAGGCAAGAUGUUCAUCACUGGCAACACGAAUGUAACAGGCAACGGCACAGGUACCGGUGCUGGCACUGGCGCGAGCGCAGACGCCGGGCAAACAGCAGGCGGGACGGGGGCCAGCGCAGGAGCAGGAAAGGGCCCAGGUCCCGGGUCAGGUCCCGGAGGCAGGGCAAGCGGUCGCCGCGGCAGCGGUCCUGACCUGUGAGCGAACUAUAAGGCUGUAAUGGCGUCAGGAGUGGUAGGCCAGGGUGCACAUAUGCUUUCGUGUUGGUGAAAAGGCGGAGUCGUGAUUACCGUGAGUACUUGGCCGAAACGCUGGCGAGUUGUCAGUAACCACGCUGACUUUUACCCUUUGCUGCUGCCACAGCCAUAUCGUCUUCACCGGGUCCCCUAGGACUGAAGGGGCGAAUGAAAUGAUUCCCGUAGCUGCUGCCAAUCCUGUUGUAGACUUGCUGCGGUUGUACGUGGUGUUUGUGCACUUGCGGCGGAGGACGCGACGUGAAAGCUACACUGAUUUAUGUGACUACCACGACCCGCUUGCAACUUUGUAAUGGUGACUGCCG